AACGAACGCUGGCGGCAGGCCUAACACAUGCAAGUCGAGCGCCCCGCAAGGGGAGCGGCGGACGGGAGAGUAACACGUGGGAAUUUUCCUCAAGGUACGGAACAACUCAGGGAAACUUGGGCUAACACCGUAUGAUGCAGAGAUGCCAAAGAUUUAUCGCCUUGGGAUAAGCCCGCGUCAGAUUAGGUAGUUGGCGGGGUAAUGGCCUACCAAGCCUGUGAUCUGUAGCUGGUCUGAGAGGACGAUCAGCCACAUUGGGACUGAGACACGGCCCAAACUCCUACGGGAGGCAGCAGUGGGGAAUCUUGCGCAAUGGACGAAAGUCUGACGCAGCCAUGCCGCGUGAAUGAUGAAGGUCUUAGGAUUGUAAAGUUCUUUAGCCUGUGACGAUAAUGACGGUAACAGGAGAAUAAGCCCCGGCUAACUUCGUGCCAGCAGCCGCGGUAACAC
rnacentral:rRNA from 1 species